AUACGUAAGGUGCAAACGUUGUUCGGAAUCACUGGGCGUAAAGGGUACGCAGGCGGCUAGAUAAGUUAGUGGUGAAAACUUGAUGCUUAACAUCAAGCCUGCCAUUAAAACUGUCUGGCUAGAGUUGUAAUAGGGGUGGCAGGAAUUCCUGGUGUAGGAGUGAAAUCUGUAGAUAUCAGGAGGAACACCAAUAGCGAAGGCAAGCCACUGCGUGACAACUGACGCUCAUGUACGAAAGCUAGGGGAGCAAAUGGGAUUAGAUACCCCAGUAGUCC
rnacentral:rRNA from 1 species